rnacentral:rRNA from 1 species
AUUGAACGCUGGCGGCAGGCCUAACACAUGCAAGUCGAGCGGAUGAUGGGAGCUUGCUCCUGGAUUCAGCGGCGGACGGGUGAGUAAUGCCUAGGAAUCUGCCUGGUAGUGGGGGACAACGUUUCGAAAGGAACGCUAAUACCGCAUACGUCCUACGGGAGAAAGCAGGGGACCUUCGGGCCUUGCGCUAUCAGAUGAGCCUAGGUCGGAUUAGCUUGUUGGUGAGGUAAUGGCUCACCAAGGCGACGAUCCGUAACUGGUCUGAGAGGAUGAUCAGUCACACUGGAACUGAGACACGGUCCAGACUCCUACGGGAGGCAGCAGUGGGGAAUAUUGGACAAUGGGCGAAAGCCUGAUCCAGCCAUGCCGCGUGUGUGAAGAAGGUCUUCGGAUUGUAAAGCACUUUAAGUUGGGAGGAAGGGUUGUAGAUUAAUACUCUGCAAUUUUGACGUUACCGACAGAAUAAGCACCGGCUAACUCUGUGCCAGCAGCCGCCGUAAAAC